rnacentral:rRNA from 1 species
GACGAACGCUGGCGGCGUGCUUAACACAUGCAAGUCGAACGGAAAGGCCCUGCUUUUGUGGGGUGCUCGAGUGGCGAACGGGUGAGUAACACGUGAGUAACCUGCCCUUGACUUUGGGAUAACUUCAGGAAACUGGGGCUAAUACCGGAUAGGAGCUCCUGCUGCAUGGUGGGGGUUGGAAAGUUUCGGCGGUUGGGGAUGGACUCGCGGCUUAUCAGCUUGUUGGUGGGGUAGUGGCUUACCAAGGCUUUGACGGGUAGCCGGCAUGAGAGGGUGACCGGCCACAAUGGGCCUAAGGUACGGCCCAGACUGCUACGUGAGGCAGCAGUGGGGAAUAUUGCACAAUGGGCGGAAGCCUGAUACAGCAACGCCGCGUGCGGGAUGACGUCCUUCGGGGUGUAAACCGCUUUCGCCUGUGACGAAGCGUGAGUGACGGUAAUUGGUAAAGAAGCACCGGCUAACUACGUG